CAAACAAUGAAUCAUGGAACACCACAUCUAAAACUAAUGAUGUAAUGUAGGGGAUUAACAUAAGAAUAAAAAAAAGAAGAAGAAAAGCACACUGGUAUAAGAUUGAGAUUUGGGUUUUCUAUGUUAAAAUGACAAGGUUUUCUUGGAUUGUUAGUGUACUCUUUUUUUCUUUCUUAAGAUUGUAUUUAUUUAUUUGACAGAGAGAGACACAGCGAGAGAGGGAACACAAGCAGGGGGAGCGGGAGAGGGAGAAGCAGGCUCCCGGCCAAGCAGAGAGCCCGAUGUGGGGCUCGAUCCCAAGACCCUGGGAUCAUGACCUGAGCCGAAGGCCGACAGACGCUUGACGACUGAGCCACCCAGGCGCUCCUCCGAGAUUUUAUUUUUUAAAUAAUCUCUACACUGAACGUGGGGCUCGAACUCACAACCCUGAGAUCAAGAGUCGUGCUCUCUACCGACUGAGCCAGCCAGGUGCCCCUGGACUGUCAUCUCGAAGAGACACAUGCGUAGACUCAGAUAUGGCCCUGCUACCAAAUACUGGCUGUCUCUGCAGAAGUCUGGACUCAAGGUCAACUGAUAAUGGCUGCAGCCUAUGAAGAAGCGAGGUCCUGAUUCCUUACCUGAGAAAAGGAGCCUAAGACCCCAUCCAGGUUGUACCAGCUCUCAGAGCAUGCCCACAGCCUCUUCUCCUUGUCCUCAGAUAACCUCCUGACAUCAGGGACUCAGUUUUGCCUCAUUCAGAUGUCAGGUCUCCACCCCGAAGUAAACAUGGGAAUCUAUGAGAAAUUAGAUCCCAUCCAGCAAGAGCUGAAUCCGAGUCCUCUGCUCACCCCACGACGGAAAAGAAUAUGCACAGGCCUGCAUCCCUCUUCUCCUUCUCCACCAUGUCGGAAGAAAAGGUGGCCCUCCCUCCUCCCAUCAGAACCCAAACCCGAGAUAAGACUUAGAUAUAAAGGAAACCAGCAUACUGUUUUGAACUCUAUAUACACUUGUAAAAAACGAGCAGCGGCAAGGAAACACACAAACCACCCCCCCCCCACACACACACAGGUGCAAGGAGGGUGCGCUGACUCGCUGAAUCUCCCCCUUUUCUCCCGAGAGGCAUCCCCCCCAUCCCCCGCCCCCCCCCGAAGAUGUCCUCCCUAUGCCGGAAGGGGAGUGAGUGACGUUCUUUUCUUCCUUUUUUUUUUUUUUUUUAAUUAUUCUUUUUAAAAGACUUUUAUUUAUUUGAGAGGAGGGGGGGGGGGGAGGGAGGGGGGAGGGAGGGAGAGAGAGAGAGAGAGAGAGAGAGAGAGAUUGAGAGAGAGAGAAGCAGAGUCUCCGCCGAGCAGGGAGCCCGAUGUGGGGCUGGAUCCCCGGACCCUGAGCUCAGGGCCUGAGCCGAAGGCAGGCGGACGGUUCACGGAUUGAGCCAGCCAGGCGCCCCAGCUUUCUUGUUUCUUUGUCUGCCUGCUUGCCUGCGUGUUGGGUCUGUGGAUGUCUGAUGCCUGCCCUCUGAUUUCGUGGGGAGGUGGGCCGUCUUUCCUCCUUCCAAUGGCCUUUGCGCAUUUGUCAAACUUCUGUCGGGCUUGGGCCUAUCUGUUUGGGUAUCUGUGGCGUUCCAUCCACCGACCUGUCUCUUUUGUCUGCCAACAUCACA